UGGCGAUGAGGAGACGCUUACUGGGUUGAGGUCCGGUGAUAGUCGCGUACGCUAUUCUGAGCCGGCG
ensembl:snoRNA small nucleolar RNA, C/D box 54